rnacentral:tRNA from 2 species
GGAAGGGUGGCAGAGUGGACGAAUGCGGCGGUCUUGAAAACCGCUGAGCCCGGAAACGGGUUCCGUGGGUUCGAAUCCCACCCCUUCCGCCA